GUCUACGGCCAUACCACCCUGAACACACCCCAUCUCGUCUGAUCUCAGAAGCUAAGCAGGGUCAGCGGACCUGGUUAGUACUUGGAUGGGAGAAUUCACCAGAUU
rnacentral:rRNA from 1 species